CCUGGUCAGAGGCAAUUAAGAGGU
rnacentral:piRNA from 1 species